GGUUCUCUCCGAAAUAGCUUUAGGGCUAGCCUCAAGUGAUGAUUAUUGGAGGUAGAGCACUGUUUGGACGAGGGGCCCCUCUCGGGUUACCGAAUUCAGACAAACUCCGAAUGCCAAUUAAUUUAACUUGGGAGUCAGAACAUGGGUGAUAAGGUCCGUGUUCGAAAGGGAAACAGCCCAGACCACCAGCUAAGGUCCCAAAAUAUAUGUUAAGUGGAAAAGGAUGUGGCGUUGCCCAGACAACUAGGAUGUUGGCUUAGAAGCAGCCAUCAUUUAAAGAGUGCGUAAUAGCUCACUAGUCGAGUGACACUGCGCCGAAAAUGUACCGGGGCUAAACAUAUUACCGAAGCUGUGGAUUGUCCUUUGGACAAUGGUAGGAGAGCGUUCUAAGGGCGUUGAAGCAUGAUCGUAAGGACAUGUGGAGCGCUUAGAAGUGAGAAUGCCGGUGUGAGUAGCGAAAGACGGGUGAGAAUCCCGUCCACCGAUUGACUAAGGUUUCCAGAGGAAGGCUCGUCCGCUCUGGGUUAGUCGGGUCCUAAGCUGAGGCCGACAGGCGUAGGCGAUGGAUAACAGGUUGAUAUUCCUGUACCACCUAUA
rnacentral:rRNA from 1 species